rnacentral:rRNA from 1 species
UACGUAGGUGGCAAGCGUUGUCCGGAUUUACUGGGCGUAAAGGGUGCGUAGGCGGAUAUUUAAGUGGGAUGUGAAAUCCCCGGGCUUAACCUGGGGGCUGCAUUCCAAACUGGAUAUCUAGAGUGCAGGAGAGGAAAGCGGAAUUCCUAGUGUAGCGGUGAAAUGCGUAGAGAUUAGGAAGAACACCAGUGGCGAAGGCGGCUUUCUGGACUGUAACUGACGCUGAGGCACGAAAGCGUGGGUAGCAAACAGG